rnacentral:rRNA from 1 species
CGUGGAUGAUCUACCUACGAGAUGGGGAUAACUAUUAGAAAUAGUAGCUAAUACCGAAUAAAGUCAAUCAAUUUGUUAAUUGAUGAAAGGAAGCCUUUAAACGUUCGCUUGUAGAUGAGUCUGCGUCUUAUUAGCUAGUUGGUAGGGUAAAUGCCUACCAAGGCGAUGAUAAGUAACCGGCCUGAGAGGGUGAACGGUCACACUGGAACUGAGAUACGGUCCAGACUCUACGGGAGGCAGCAGCUAAGAAUCUUCCGCAAUGGGCG